rnacentral:rRNA from 1 species
AAUGAACGCUGGCGGUAGGCUUAACACAUGCAAGUCGGACGGUAGCAGGGAAUAAGUUUACUUAUUUUGCUGACGAGUGGCGGACGGGUGAGUAACGCGUGGGAAUCUACCCUAUAGUUGGGGACAACGUAUGGAAACGUACGCUAAUACCGAAUACGCUCUACGGAGUAAAGGAGCCCUCUUCAUGAAAGGUUUCGCUAUAGGAUGAGCCCGCGUAAGAUUAGCUAGUUGGUGAGGUAAUGGCUCACCAAGGCGACGAUCUUUAGCUGGUUUGAGAGGAUGAUCAGCCACACUGGGACUGAGACACGGCCCAGACUCCUACGGGAGGCAGCAGUGGGGAAUAUUGGACAAUGGACGAAAGUCUGAUCCAGCCAUACCGCGUGUGUGAAGAAGGCCUUCGGGUUGUAAAGCACUUUCAGUUGGGAGGAAGAUUAAGUAGUUAAUACCUGCUUAGUUUGACGUUACCUUCAGAGGAAGCACCGGCUAACUCUGU